AUUGAACGCUGGCGGCAUGCCUUACACAUGCAAGUCGAACGCGAAAGGGGGGCAACCCCUGAGUAGAGUGGCGCACGGGUGAGUAAUGCAUCGGAACGUGUCCUGUAGCGGGGGAUAACCUAGCGAAAGCUAGGCUAAUACCGCAUACGCCCUAAGGGGGAAAGUGGGGGAUCGUAAGACCUCACACUAUAGGAGCGGCCGAUGCCGGAUUAGCUAGUUGGUGGGGUAAAAGCUCACCAAGGCGACGAUCCGUAGCUGGUCUGAGAGGAUGAUCAGCCACACUGGGACUAAGACACGGCCCAGACUCCUAGGGGAGGCAGCAGUGGGGAAUUUUGGACAAUGGGGGAAACCCUGAUCCAGCCAGGCCGCGUGAGUGAAGACGGCCUUCGGGUUGUAAAGCUCUUUCGGCCGGGACGAAAUCGCACGCGUGAAUAUCGUGUGCGGAUGACGGUACCGGCAGAAGAAGGACCGGCUAACUACGUGCCAGCAGCCGCCGUAA
rnacentral:rRNA from 1 species